UUCCGGGUGGCUCAGAAGUUAAAGCAUCUGCCUACAAUGCAGGAGACCUGGGUUUGAUCCCUGGGUCGGGAA
rnacentral:tRNA from 1 species